rfam:Dipodomys ordii contig_49504, whole genome shotgun sequence.
GGGAAGGUGGCUCAGUGGUAGAGUGUUUGCCUUGCAUGCAUGAAGCCCUGGGUUCGAUUCCUCCGUACCA